CAGUGUAUCAAAUACUUGUUCUCCCCACUGUAUAUGCGCCAGAAAUCGGGGGAAAUUAACUGAGCAGAACGAAGUGGAAUGUAACUAAAGAGGAGAAGAAGCACAGAUUGAAAAUGUGGUGAACAUAAACUAGACUGACACCCAGUCUAACUUGUGUGUGUGUGUGUGUGUGUGUGUGUGUGUGUGUGUGUGUGUGUGUGUGUGUGUGUGUGUGUGUGUGUGUGUGUGUGUGUGUGUGUGUGUGUGUGUGUGUGUGUGUGUGUGUGUGUGUGUGUGUGUGUGUGUCCUCAACCCUGCUCAGUAAUGUCAAUUAGUUAGCCAUUUUCCCCCUGGGUUUGUUGACUUGUCUCCUCAGGGUGCAGACUUCUCUGUAGGCCCUCUGUUCAGAUCCACUGUGAUUACAUGGCCCGCUGUUUACUUUUCCCAGAGUACUUAGCUCUCUAUACCUCCUUUCAUCCUUUACUCCCUUGCUCCCUCUCUUUCAUCUUGCUCUUUCUCUCUUCUUCGCUCUGUUUUGGUAACACAACAUUGACUUUUUAUUUUUUCAAUAUAUUUAACUUCACGUAAAAUGUAUUUCAAAUACAUGUACAGCGUUUGCAUCUAUGCUAAAAUGGAUGUAAUGCCUUAAAAUGUAUUCAAGAGAUGCAUGAACAUACAUUUGCAGCUUUGCUCAAAUGCAUGUAAGGCCUGACAAUUCCAGAAAUGCAUGGCUAUGACAUCUAGUCUAGAGGGUGGCCAAAGUGGUUCCUAAUUCAGCAUAUGACAUAGUUUGGCCCUUCAGAGGAUUCUUAUAUUACGCUUUGCGUAUUAAUCAAUGCAGAUUUUUGGGCCACCAAGCCAAAACUUUGGCAGUGAUAUAAUUUACAUUGUUAUUAUGAGUAAAAACAAAUCUGUUAUGAUUUCACCAAAUUUAAACAUUCUGUCACAAGGAGCACAUGUUUAACUUAAUAAAAAACAAGUUUUCCAAUCUCAAAAAGUUAUCUUUUUUUAUGACUAUAGUAAGCGCCUCUCUUCAGCCUAAUUAAAUCAUGAAAAAAUCAUGACCGAUUAUAUUUGAUGUUUGUAGUCAUUUUUGUAGUCAUUUAAAUGCAUUUAAACACAUUUUAGUGCUUUUGGUAUGUGUCAAGUACAAUAAAAAUACAUUUUGACAUAAUAUAUUGUACCUGCAGCAGCCAAUAAGAGGAUCUGGAGGCGUGACUUGGAGGCGUGGAUUUAUGGUAGCGCUCUUUGGCCACCCAUGGGAGAAAGUCUCAAGCCAGUUCAUAAGUUAUGUUUUGCUCUAUUAAAUAAUUGAGACGCACUUGAAGGCUGCCAAAUCUGCAAUCUUAAUGAGGCCAAAGCCUAAAACUAUUGUUAUACUGAAGAGCUUCAUUGUUAAGACAGUCACCAUUUCAUUACAAUAUGAUUUGGUGAAUAUCUUACAUAAGGUUUUAAUGUGAGCAUAUAUAUUUUUUUAAUACAGUCAAAGUACAUUUAAAAAAUAUAUUUACCAUAUAUAUUGAUAAAUACAGGUGAGAAUAUAUUUUCAAACAUCUGUUUUGACGUAUUUCAAAUCAAAUGUUAUUUGUCACAUACUUUGUAAACAACAGGUGUGGAUUAACAGUGAAAUUAUUAGUUUGGGGUCCUUCCCAAGAAUGCAGAGAGAAAGAAAUAGACAAAUAAUAGAAAAGGAAAACACGUAAUAAUAAAAGUAAUAAUAAAUACACAGUGAGUAACGAUAACUUGGCUAUAUACAAGGGGUACCGAGUCAAUGUGCAGGGGUACGAGGUAAUUGAGCUGGAUAUGCAGAUAUAAGUGGGAAUAAAAUGACCGAUAGUAAACAGUGGCAGCAGCAUAUGUGAUGAGUAAAAAAAAGUUAGUGCAAAAGGGGUCAAUGUAGAUAGUCCGGGUAGCUACUUGGUUAACUAUUUAAAGAGCCCCCGAACACACCGAUUGGCACCUGUUUUUUUUCUGUUGCUCAUUAGAAAAACAAGAUUUCUGUCUGGAGGUGUGUUUCCUGACUGAUUCCGUAUUUGAUUAAUGAUGUUUGUCCCCCAUGAGACACAUUGGAAGAAAAAAUUACAUAUAAAUAUAUAUAUAUACAAAACAGAAGAAAAAAAAUUGCGCUACUUAAACAUCCUCAGCAAAAACGUAAAAAUGAUUUACAGAUUAAUUGCAUAUUUCUCGAGUCAUACUAGGGAUGUGAAAUAGGCGGAAAAAAACAUCUUGGUUGACCAAGAGUCGUCUAUUCUUUCGACCAAUUGAUUGGUCAAAAUUUUUAAACGUGUAUUUUUCCAUAUAUAGACACAUCCUAUGUGUUUUAAUCAAAUCAACUAUAUGCACUGAGUUUGUCUGACGCUUUAAGCAAACUGUUUGAUGAAAUAAUUAAGACACACAAAUAACUAGAGGGUGUCCGACCACAAUUGAUUUUUUGUGCCGGGCCUGGCUCAGACUUGCUGCGCUGUGUUGAAAAAAAAAGACAGCGAGUGACUGUGUAAAUAGCACCCAUUGUCUCUCCUCCAUGCUGCAGAGACCACUACAGAACAUCAACAGUGUGUAUUGCGCUGUCCAUGUUGCUGAAGCUGAACAUUUUAUCAAAUGGCCACCAAGACUAUUUACAUUGACCCUCCACCCUUUGUUUUUACACUGCUGCUACUUGUUGUUUAUUAUCUAUGCAUAGUAACUUUACCCCAACCUACAUGUACAAACUACCUUGACUAACCUGUACCCCCUGCACAUUGACUCGGUACCACUACCCCCUGUACUGUAUAUAGCCUCAUUAUUGUUAUGUAAUUUUAUUGUGUUACUUUUUCUUUUUUUUCUUCUUUUUUUUCUUUUUUUCAACUGCAUUGUUGGUUAAGGGCUUGUAAGUAAGCAUUGUAUUUGGAGCAUGUGACAAAUACGAUUUGAUUUGAAUUACAGCCAUUUCUGACUGAAAACUUGAGUUACCGAAAUCCCUCAUUUGUUUUGGAAAAACAUUCCCUAUUCCCUCAACCCUUGAUCUCUUUAUGUGACACAUGUAUGCAUCGCACGUAACCAAUAGGGCCUGACCUACAGCAUUUCAUAAUCACAUCAAUAAAUUGGUUAUAACAAACUCUGAACACCGUAACACGUGACAGCAAAAUGGAUGCAGAGGACGUGACAAAUAAACUUGAAACUGGGAAAUGUUUACUGGUUGCUCAGGAGGUAAAAGGGAAGUCUGUCACGUCCUGACCUUAGUUCCUUUUUUAUGUCUCUAUUUUAGUUUGGUCAGGGCGUGAGUUGGAGUGGGCAGUCUAUGUUAUUUUUCUAUGUUGUUGUGUUUCUAUGUGUUUGGCCUGGUGUGGUUCCCAAUCAGAGGCAGCUGUCUAUCGUUGUCUCUGAUUGGGAGCCAUACUUAGGUAGCCUCAGACGAAGAGGAGAUCCGUUACAAAGUCAGAUGUGUGGAAUACAUUUGACUCGUGGAAAAUACUGUAGAUCAAGAAAAGGAAGGUAAGGAGCACCCACUGCUUGCAUAUUAUGUGUGCCUUACAGGUGCUGUUAGAUUACAAUAUAAUUUUUCUGACCAUUUGGAACAAUGUAAAGCCUUUAUUACAGCAAAGACUAAAAACAGUCACAUUCUGUCACGCCUACUCCCGCUAUCCAGCUCCGACACUCAACUUCGCCAGUCUACUAGCCAUCGGUCCUUGGGGUUUGCCAACUUCUACCUCCGCUUCAUUAGGAACUUCAGCUCCAUCGCCUCUCCUCUCACCCCAAGAGUGGUUCCCGUAAGUUGGUGUGGAGUUUUGCAGCCGAUGAGGUCUUCCGCAUACUGAAGGGGUGUUUCACCUCCGCCUUGUUGCUGAAACACCCAGAUCCUAGGCUGCCCUACGGGGUGGAGGUGGAGGCUUCAGAAGUUGGUGUGGGGGCCGUCCUGUCCCAACAUCAAGGUAACCCACAGAAAUUGUUUCCAUGUGCAUGGUACUCAAAAAUAAUGUCUCCUGCAGAGAGGAAGUAGUACGUCGGUGACUGGGAGCUCUGAAGAAGACCCAUUUCUCAUCCUCACCGACCAUCGGAACCUGGAGUACAUAUGGACAGUGAGGUGGCUGAAUCCAAGCCAAUCAAGGUGGGCCCUUUUCUUCACUAGAUUCAACUUCACCUUGUCAUAUUGCCCAGGUUCAAAGAACGUCAAAGCCGAUGCCCUGACUCAUCUCUACAAUUCGGGAGAGGUUCCUGUCCUGAGUGCACCCAUCAUUCGGCCUUCGCGGGUCGUUGCCUCCAUGUUUUGGGACGUAUAUGUGGAUAUUCGCCAGGCUCUGGAGAGGGAACCUGCACCUGCUAUCUGUCCUCCGGAGUGCACCUACGUUCCCACAGGGAUAAGGAAUCGGCUGUUGUCCUGGGCGCACACAUCUCUCGUCACUGGACACCCAGGUAUUACCCACACUAUUCAAUCUAUCUCCAGAAAGUACUGGUGGCCCACCUUGCCUCAGGACAUCGCUCGCUAUGUCAACUCCUGCUCUGUAUGUGCCCAAACUAAAUCUACCCGGCACACUCCAGCAGGGAAACUCCUUCCCCUUCCUGUGCCUCUGCGGUCUUGGUCUCAUCUGUCCAUUGAUUUCAUCACUGAUCUCCCCUCUUCUGAGUGUUUCACUACUAUUAUGGUUGUUGUGGACAGAUUCUCUAAAUCCUGUCAUUUUAUCCCUCUCUCUGGUCUCCCUACUGCUCUCCAGGUUGUUGGGGCACUCUUCCAACAUUCCUUCUGGUGCUAUGGCCUUCCGGAGGAUAUCGUCUCUUACCGUGGCCCCCAAUUCCUGUCAUGAACAUGGAAAGCCUUCAUGGAGAAGCUGGGGGUCAUGGUCAGUCUCACUUCCGGGUAUCGGCCUCAGUCCAAUGGGCAGGUGGAUAGGAUGAACCAGGAACUGGGGAGGUUCCUUAGGAGUCACUGACAGGACCGGCAGGGGGUGUGGGCCCAGUUACUUCCCUGGGCGAAGUACGCCACUGGGCUGACCCCCAUCCAGUGUGUCCUGCGGUAUCAGCUAGCCCUGGAUCCGUGGACCCCGAGCCAGACCGAAGCUCCUGCGGUGGACGAGUGGUUCAGGCAUGCAGAGGAGGUUUGGAACGAUGAACACGUGAGGCCCCAGCAUGCUGUCCGCCGCCAGAAAGAUCAGACGGACCGCCACCUCAGUGAGGCUCCCGUGUUCCAUCCUGGGGAUCGCAUCUGGCUCUCCACCAGGAACCUCUCCCUCUGCCUGCCCUGUAGGAAGAUAAGCUUCUGGUUUGUGGGGGCCUUCAAGGUCCUCCUGGAGGGUGAAUGAGGUAACCUAUAAAUUACAACUCCCCACUAACUUCCAAAUCUCACCCUCUUUUCAUGUUUUUCUCCUCAGGCCAGUGGUUCCUUGUUCCCCGCGACACCCCUCCAACUCCCCUGGACAUCGAUUGGAGCCGACGUUGUGGGGGGUCGGACGACAUCCUGGAUCCCAACAUCGUCCGGGAUUUCCACCACCCAGACCGGCCCGCUCCUCGCCCUCCAGGCGUCGUCCUGCGCCUGGAGUUGCAAGCAGGAUGGGUGUACUGUUGCGCCUACUCCCCCUCUCCCGCUCCGGCACACGACGUCGCCGGUCUACUAACCACCGGUCCUGACGACCCACAUUACGCACACCUGGACAAUGACCCAACACACCUCCAGGCUGUGUAAGGACUAUUUGACCAAGAAGGAGAGUAAUGGGAGUGUUGCAUAAGAUGACCUGGCCUCCACAAUCACCCAGACCUCAACCCAAUUGAGAUGGUUUGGAAUGAGUUGGACCGCAGAAUGAAGGAAAAGCAGCCAACAAGUGCUCAGCAUGUGUGGGAACUCCUUCAAGAUUGUUUGAAAAGCAUUCCAGGUGAAGCUGGUUGAGAGAAUGCCAAGAGUGUGCAAAGCUGUCAUAAAUGCAAAGGGUGGCUACUUUGAAGAAUCUAAAAUAUAUUUUGAUUUGUUUAAUACUUUUUUGGUUACUACAUAAUUCAAUAUGUUAUUUCAUGGUUUUGAAGUCUUCACUAUUAUUCUACAAUGUAGAAAAUAGUAAAAAAUAAAGAAAAACCCUUGAAUUAGUA